UCAGUUCGGAUUGCAGGCUGCAACCCGCCUGCAUGAAGUCGGAAUUGCUAGUAAUCGCGCAUCAGCCAUGGCGCGGUGAAUACGUUCCCGGGCCUUGUACACACCGCCCGUCAAGCCAUGGGAGCCGGGGGCGCCUGAAGUCCGGGACCGCGAGGACCGGCCUAGGGCGAAACUGGUGACUGGGGCUAAGUCGUAACAAGGUAUC
rnacentral:rRNA from 1 species